GGGGGGGAAUGAUGGGCAGUGCUGCCCGCGAGGCCGGGAGGACGUUGGGGGCUUCGGGGCCGCGGAGGGCUCCGAGUGCUCUGGGGCGCGUUUGGUGGGGUUGGAGGGACCACCCGGGGAGGGACGGGAAGCCCAACUCGGACCCCGGCUUCAGCGGCGUCCUGGUCUCGAAAGAGACGGGAAAGCGUCUCUGGCCCCGGGGGCUUCAGGGCGGGCUGGGGUCUGAACCAGCACCCCGAGACUCUUGGGCAAGGGCCCGUUAGCAAUCAGAGCUGUAGAGCGGCAGCCGCCACAUCCCGAAGUGAUUGCGCCGUAAUGUAAAUGGGGAAACGGGAAGGUGGACACGGGCCCACAGGAGGCAAGUGGAUAAAGAUGCACAGCUUAAAAAAAAACUAUGAAGUUACUAGAAGAAAAUGUAGGUUAUCUUGUAGAAUUUUGGGGUAGCGUGUUCUUCUGAAGCUGUCAAAAACCAUAGAAGAGUUGGCAGAUUUGACUACUAAAAAAUGAAAAGCUGGGCAGCCAAGGUGGUGAACGGAGAGCGGGAGACUUGGGCUGUGCCAGAGCUGGAAGGGUGCCUUGCCCUCCAGGAAGAUGAUGGUGGAGGAAGUAGGACCAACCAUAAAACUACGCCAAAGAAAAAUGCCGGUCUUGAGAGAAGAGAGAACCUGCCAAA